UUUGUGGGUCGAAGCGGAGAAUUUAAGCCCCAGUAAACGGCGGUGGUAACUAUAACCAUCCUAAGGUAGCGAAAUUCCUUGUCGGGUAAGUUCCGACCUGCACGAAUGGCGUAACGACUUCCCUGCUGUCUCAACCACAGACCCGGCGAAAUUGCAGUACGAGUAAAGAUGCUCGUUACGCGCGGCAGGACGAAAAGACCCCGGGACCUUCACUAUAGCUUGGUAUUGGUGUUCGGUUCGGUUUGUGUAGGAUAGGUGGGAGACUGUGAUGCCUCAACGCCAGUUGGGGUGGAGUCGUUGUUGAAAUACCACUCUGAUCGUAUUGGACAUCUCAACCUCGGCCCGUGAUCCGGGUUAGGGACAGUGCCUGGUGGGUAGUUUAACUGGGGCGGUUGCCUCCCAAAGAGUAACGGAGGCGCCCAAAGGUUCCCUCAGCCUGGUUGGCAAUCAGGUGUUGAGUGUAAGUGCACAAGGGAGCUUGACUGUGAGACUGACAGGUCGAGCAGGUAGGAAACUAGGGACUAGUGAUCCGGCACCGGCUUGUGGAAGCGGUGUCGCUCAACGGAUAAAAGGUACCCCGGGGAUAACAGGCUGAUCUUCCCCAAGAGUCCAUAUCGACGGGAUGGUUUGGCACCUCGAUGUCGGCUCGUCGCAUCCUGGGGCUGGAGUAGGUCCCAAGGGUUGGGCUGUUCGCCCAUUAAAGCGGCACGCGAGCUGGGUUUAGAACGUCGUGAGACAGUUCGGUCUCUAUCCGCCGCGCGCGUAGAAACUUGAGGAAGGCUGUCCCUAGUACGAGAGGACCGGGAUGGACGUACCUCUGGUGUGCCAGUUGUCCCGCCUGGGGCAUGGCUGGUUGGCUACGUACGGAAGGGAUAACCGCUGAAAGCAUCUAAGCGGGAAGCCUGUUCCAAGAUUAGGUUUCUUUUGAGGUCCCCUAUAGAUGAUGGGGUUGAUAGGCCGGAUCUGGAAGCAUCGUAAGGUGUGGAGGUGACCGGUACUAAUAGACCAAACAUUCAACACACAAA
rnacentral:rRNA from 1 species